rnacentral:tRNA from 1 species
CAUCAAAUAGCUUAAAGUAAGCAAGAGCCUCUUAAGCUCUAAAAUAUCAGUUCACGCCUGAUUUUGGUG